ACGAACGCUGGCGGCGUGCUUAACCCAUGCAAGUCGAACGGAAAGGCCCUGCUUUUGUGGGGUGCUCGAGUGGCGAACGGGUGAGUAACACGUGAGUAACCUGCCCUUGACUUUGGGAUAACUUCAGGAAACUGGGGCUAAUACCGGAUAGGAGCUCCUGCUGCAUGGUGGGGGUUGGAAAGUUUCGGCGGUUGGGGAUGGACUCGCGGCUUAUCAGCUUGUUGGUGGGGUAGUGGCUUACCAAGGCUUUGACGGGUAGCCGGCCUGAGAGGGUGACCGGCCACAUUGGGACUGAGAUACGGCCCAGACUCCUACGGGAGGCAGCAGUGGGGAAUAUUGCACAAUGGGCGGAAGCCUGAUGCAGCAACGCCGCGUGCGGGAUGACGGCCUUCGGGUUGUAAGCCGCUUUCGCCUGUGACGAAGCGUGAGUGACGGUAAUGGGUAAAGAAGCACCGGCUAACUACGUG
rnacentral:rRNA from 1 species